rnacentral:rRNA from 1 species
CGGUAACAGCUCAAAUUUGAAAUCUGGCUCUUUUAGGGUCCGAGUUGUAAUUUGUAGACGAUGCUUUGGGUGUGGUGCCGGUCUAAGUUCCUUGGAACAGGACGUCAUAGAGGGUG